rnacentral:sRNA from 1 species
AAAAAAAAACAAGAAAUAACUAAAAAAUGAAAUGCAAAUUGUUCAAGACAAACUAUAUUUAACAUAAUUGGAACUGCAUUUGCAGCUAACUUGCUGCAGAUGUGCGGAGACGUGUCGUUGGGCAGCUAUUCGGUCAGCAGCUUUCAACAUUGUGGUCAAAGGUCGUGAAGGUUGGGCGGGACAGGCGAGCAGUAGUUGCGGCACAACGUUGCCGCUGACCUCGCCCGCAUCAUCAACAGCUGUUAAAGCGUGGCCAGGGGCCAGCUCCUGGCAUCAGGCGAUCGAUGAUCGCAUCGCGGAACAGCAGCUGCAAUCCCAGUGUGCGCACUCUGCAGAUCCAUCUGUGCACUGAGAGAAACGCAUGCUUGCACCUCAAAAUGCUGCAGUUGUUGCGACUUGUGCUCGGCCAGCUAUGUUCUUGUCGAUACGCACGCUCCGGGAGCUCGUGAACAGGAACCUUCGCGAUAUAUUGAAUCCUCAGCUUCAAGAUGCGACAGCGCUUUACACUAUUUCGGCCAGUAAAUGGCAUCAGCAGCAAUUGAGCAAUGCUAGAGCCCAGUAACUUGCACGGGGUGCAAGCGCCUUGUUUAUCUCCAAGUAAAUGGCCACACGAGACUACAAACGACUG